rnacentral:rRNA from 1 species
CUGCUGGCACGUAGUUAGCCGUGGCUUUCUCAUAAAGUACCGUCACUCGGAUAUCAUUCCCUAUAUCCGCCGUUCUUCCUUUAUAACAGAAGUUUACAGAACGAAUUCCUUCUUCCUUCACGCGGCGUUGCUCGGUCAGGGUUCCCCCCAUUGCC